CCUACGGGAGGCAGCAGUGAGGAAUAUUGGUCAAUGGGCGGGAGCCUGAACCAGCCAAGCCGCGUGCAGGAUGACGGCUCUAUGAGUUGUAAACUUCUUUUAUACGGGAAUAAUGUGUCUUACGUGUACCUAUUUGAAUGUAUCGUACGAAUAAGGAUCGGCUAACUCCGUGCCAGCAGCCGCGGUAAUACGGAGGAUUCGAGCGUUAUCCGGAUUUAUUGGGUUUAAAGGGUGCGUAGGCUGUCGGUUAAGUUAGAGGUGAAAUGUUGGGGCUUAACCCCGUGCUUGCCUUUGAUACUGGUUGACUAGAGAACAGAUGAAGUAGGCGGAAUGCGUGGUGUAGCGGUGAAAUGCUUAGAUAUCACGCAGAACACCGAUUGCGAAGGCAGCUUACUAAUCUGUAUCUGACGCUGAUGCACGAAAGCGUGGGUAGCGAACAGGAUUAGAUACCCGGGUAGUC
rnacentral:rRNA from 1 species